rnacentral:tRNA from 1 species
AGUAUCAUAUAAAAUGUUUUCAAUUUCGACUUGAAAUAAGAUUUUAAUAAUUUAAUCCUU